rnacentral:sRNA from 2 species
CCACCUGCAUGGACCAGCAGGCAUUUACUAGUUGACUAUCAGCCUUACCUCCCGAUUGCUUGGAACCCCCAGUUGUUUCGAAAUACCUCCUUGCGGCUCUGGGGUGGGCUUUCAUUUGUGAAGGCCACUUUCGAAGGGCACGAAUUUCAGAUUGGUAACACUAGGAUGCCAUCUUCCCGACUUUAAAAGCAGCGAUCACAGCGGCUCUCUUACAGAUGGAUUCUCAAUACUCGCGCACCACCCCCACAAGACCACCUUUGUGGGUGCUGGCCAUCGCUGUAACACCCGUGCCAACCCUACCAA